rnacentral:misc_RNA from 1 species
AAUUGUUUCAAUUAAAUCAAAUACAAUUUUAAUCACAACAAAGCUACAAGCCUAAAAUAAAAAUAUGUAUGCCUUGAAGGAAACUCUCAUGAAACUCUCGAAAACUCAUGAAACACAAGAUCAAAACCAAAAUGACAAUAAAAACAGUUGAACCAUCAGCAAAUGAAGGUGGAAAACAAACCCAAGUAGAGAAACAAAUCUAUUACUCAAAGAUUCUCGAAACUAUCCAUCGAUCUAGCGAAACAACUCGACCAUGACGGCAGCAAAAGGCAGAGCAAUGAGAGAAAUUGCCAACAGAGACAUAGAGUCCUUGCUAUCAUAACAAAAGGCGUGACCUGUUGGAGCCAUUCUAUUCUGGCACAUAGGGGCAAAGCAAUUGAGGAAGAGGGAGAGGAAAGGAACUAAAGAAGAACAAUAAAAGGAAGAAUCAAGGGAAACAAUGAGAAAGUGAAGAAAAAAAAAGAAGGAAGAGGAGGAGGGUGGGGCUGUGGUGGCGUGAGAAAUGAAAGGUA